UCUGCUGUGCCUCUUUCUCGACCCGCAGCCCUCUCCUCAAUUGCCAGUUUAAUGCUGACAAAACCAUUUUGUGCAUCUCCAGCCUGUCUCCUGACACAGGGCAGCUCAUCACUGAGUUUGCAUACAUUGUUUUUGAUCCUGUGGCGGAAGACGAUGUAAAGGAGUUAACGCUAGUAGCCACUACGCUCAAGAGUCAUUCAAAAAGACUUCAGCACGAAGACGGAGUGCACUGUGUUUGAAACCAUCCUUCGUUGGAUUACCCACAAACCUGAAGAGCGACAAAGUUCCAGAUGGCCUUGACAAGCGUUCCGUACGACAUUCAUGUGAAGACCAAUGAGCUGGUGGAGAUCAACGCUGAGUGCAGGCCAAUGAUCAGUGAUGCCACCCAAAUUGUACAGCAUGAGACAAAAAGGCCUUUCAUGUGUUUUCUGCUACCCUCUCGCUCAUCCUCGUUUACACAGUGCCAUCCUGUUCGCCAGUGGAGGCUGGAACUCUCAAGAGUUUGGAGGAAUUGAGGCUUAUGAUGCCUCUGUUGACCACUAGGUCAGUCAGUACAGCAGACACGAAACAUACAGAACCACAGCACAAUACAGCAAAUUGUCUGAUUGCCUGUCGUAGUCAGACUAUGGCCUUGGUUAAACUGCAUGUGAACUUCCUGACUGUCAAUGUGGCAAAGCAUGUGCAUC